rnacentral:tRNA from 1 species
AUUUUCUUAGUAUAUUAAGUACAGUUGACUUCCAAUCAAAAAGCCUAAAAAUUAGAGAAAAUA